rfam:Brachypodium distachyon strain Bd21 chromosome 2, whole genome shotgun sequence.
CAAGUACUCCCUCCGUCCAACAAAGGAUGUCUCAACUUUGACUAAAUUUGAAUGCAUCUAUAUACUAAGUCAUGUCUAGAUAAAUCCAAAUUUUGACAAAUUUGAGACAUCUUUUUUUGGACGGAGGGAAUACAAU